UGAGCACCACACAGGCCGGGCGC
rnacentral:miRNA from 1 species